rnacentral:rRNA from 1 species
CCCUUAGAUGUUCUGGGCCGCACGCGCGCUACACUGAUACAUGCAACGAGUUUAUAACCUUGAUCUGACGGUCUGGGUAAUCUUCAAACUGUAUCGUGUUAGGGAUCGAUUCUUGCAAUUUUUAAUCGUAAACGAGGAAUUCCUAGUAAACGCAAGUCAUCAGCUUGCAUUGAUUACGUCCCCGCCCUUUGUACACACCGCCCGUCGACUCUACCGAUUGAAUGGUUCGGUGAAAACUUUGGACUGUGGCAUUGUCCUUCAUUGGACUUCGCCGUAGGAAAUUGUUUAAACCUCAUCAUUUAGAGGAAGAAUAAGUCGUAACA